rnacentral:rRNA from 1 species
AUGAAGUACGUGCUGGUCACCGGUGGUGUUGUGAGCGGCCUCGGCAAGGGCGUCACGGCCAGCAGCAUCGGCGUCGUCCUCAAGGCGUGCGGUCUCCGCAUUACGUCCAUCAAGAUCGAUCCUUACCUCAACACUGAUGCCGGGACUAUGUCCCCGUUCGAACACGGUGAAGUGUUUGUGUUAGAUGAUGGUGGUGAGGUGGACUUGGAUCUUGGGAAUUAUGAGAGGUUUCUUGAUAUUAAACUCACCCGGGACAAUAAUAUAACUACUGGAAAGAUCUACCAGUCUGUUAUUGACAAGGAGAGGAAAGGGGAAUACUUGGGAAAGACUGUGCAGGUUGUGCCACACAUUACAAAUGCCAUACAAGACUGGAUCGAGCGUGUUGCUAUGAUACCGGUGGAUGGCAUGGACGGACCAGCUGAUGUCUGUGUGAUCGAACUGGGUGGAACAAUUGGUGAUAUUGAAUCUAUGCCAUUUAUUGAAGCUUUGGGUCAAUUCUCGUAUCGUGUUGGACCUGGCAACUUCUGUUUGGUGCAUGUCAGUCUCGUUCCAGUUCUGAAUGUUGUUGGUGAACAGAAAACCAAGCCGACUCAACACAGUGUGCGUGGUUUAAGGGGACUUGGCCUCACCCCAAAUAUUUUAGCUUGUCGCAGUACAAAGGAACUGGAAGAAAAUGUCAAAGAGAAACUCUCCCAGUUCUGCCAUGUGCCGGCAACAAACAUUGUCACUCUGUAUGAUGUUUCCAAUAUUUGGCGUAUUCCUUUGUUGCUACGGGACCAAAAGGCGCAUGAAGCUAUUCUUAAAGUUCUGAACCUUGAAAGCUUUCCUCGUGAGCCAAAGUUGGAUGAAUGGGUUGCAAGAGCUACUAUGUUUGACACCCUUCAGGAUACUGUACGCAUUGCUAUGGUUGGGAAGUACACUGGUCUAUCUGAUUCCUAUCUCUCUGUGUUGAAAGCUCUCUUGCAUGCUUCAGUUUAUUGCCACAGAAAGCUUGUUGUUGAUUGGGUUGCUUCUACAGAUCUUGAGGACUCUACCAAAAUUGAGGCACCUGAUGCUUACAAAGCAGCUUGGAAUUUAUUGAAGAGUGCUGAUGGCAUUUUAGUACCUGGUGGCUUUGGAGAUAGAGGUGUUCAAGGAAAAAUUCUGGCUGCUAAGUAUGCCCGUGAAAAUAAUGUACCAUAUCUUGGUAUAUGUCUUGGAAUGCAGAUGGCUGUUGUAGAGUUUGCUAGGAAUGUCAUGAAUCUCUCUGAUGCAAACAGUACUGAAUUUGAUCGCAAUGCCAAGGCCCCAUGUGUUAUUUUUAUGCCUGAGGGUUCCAAAACACAUAUGGGUGGCACAAUGCGCCUAGGAUCGAGGAGGACAUUCUUCAAGGUUGCUGGUUGCAAGUCAGCUAAAUUGUAUGGCAAUGUGGAUUAUGUUGAUGAGAGGCACCGGCACAGAUAUGAGGUGAAUCCUGAUAUGGUGCCAGAGUUUGAAAAUGCUGGACUUAAGUUUGUUGGCAAAGAUGAGAGUGACAGGAGAAUGGAGAUAAUCGAGAUACCCAAUCACCAGUAUUUCGUUGGCGCACAGUUUCAUCCUGAAUUCAAGUCAAGACCUGCGAAACCUUCUCCACUAUUUGUUGGGCUAAUCGCCGCCUCAUCUGGGCAAUUGGACAAGGUGCUACAAAGCUGCUCGAAUGGCCAUGUGCUUCCUGCCAAACAUCAGUUCAGCAAUGGUCCAUACACGCUGGCUGCACACCAAAAUGCAAACGGGCAUGCGAAGAAGCUUGCCAAUGGUCUAGCGAAUGGAACAUACCAUCCCAAUGGGAAUGGUGUCCAUGCGUAG